AGAAGUUUAGUUUAUAAAAAACAAUUGUUUUGAAAACAAUAAAAAGAAUAUUUAAAAUUUCUAACUUCUA
rnacentral:tRNA from 1 species